ACUCAAAUGAAUUGACGGGAGCCCGCACAAGCAGUGGAGUAUGUGGUUUAAUUCGAAGCAACGCGAAGAACCUUACCAGGGAUUGACAUCCACGGAAUUUGGAGUAACGUCCGAAGUGCCCUUCGGGGAGCCGUGAGACAGGUGGUGCAUGGUUGUCGUCAGCUCGUGUCGUGAGAUGUUGGGUUAAGUCCCGCAACGAGCGCAACCCUUACAGUUAGUUGCUACGCAAGAGCACUCUAGCUGGACUGCCGUUGACAAAACGGAGGAAGGUGGGGAUGACGUCAAAUCAUCAUGCCCCUUAAGUUCUGGGCUACACACGUACUACAAUGGCAUUUAACAACGGGAAGCGAAACUGCGAGGUGGAGCAAAUCCCCAAAAAGUGCCCCAGUUCAGAUUGCAGGCUGCAACUCGCCUGCAUGAAGUUGGAAUUGCUAGUAAUCGCGAAUCAGCAUGUCGCGGUGAAUACGUUCUCGGGCUUUGCACACACCGCCCGU
rnacentral:rRNA from 1 species